UACGAAGGGGGCUAGCGUUGCUCGGAAUGACUGGGCGUAAAGGGCGCGUAGGCGGAUGACACAGUCAGAUGUGAAAUUCCCGGGCUUAACCUGGGGGCUGCAUUUGAUACGUGUUGUCUAGAGUGAGGAAGAGGGUUGUGGAAUUCCCAGUGUAGAGGUGGAAUUCGUAGAUAUUGGGAAGAACACCGGUGGCGAAGGCGGCAACCUGGUCCUUGACUGACGCUGAGGCGCGAAAGCGUGGGGAGCAAACAGG
rnacentral:rRNA from 1 species